CCUACGGGGGGCAGCAGUGGGGAAUAUUGGACAAUGAGGGGAACCCUGAUCCAGCGACGCCGCGUGAGUGAAGAAGUAUUUCGGUAUGUAAAGCUCUAUCAGCAGGGAAGAAAGAAAUGACGGUACCUGACGAAGAAGCCCCGGCUAACUACGUGCCCGCAGCCGCGGUAAUACGUAGGGGGCAAGCGUAAUCCGGAUUUACUGGGUGUAAGGGGAGUGUAGACGGCGAUGCAAGUCUGAAGUGAAAGGCGGGGGCCAAACCGCCGGACUGCUCUGGAAACUGUAUGGCUGGAGUGCAGGAGAGGUAAGUGGAAUGCCUAGUGUAGCGGUGAAAUGCGUAGAUAUUAGGAGGAACACCAGUGGCGAAGGCGGCUUACUGGACUGUAACUGACGUUGAGGCUCGAAAGCGUGGGGAGCAAACAGGAUUAGAUACCCUGGUAGUC
rnacentral:rRNA from 1 species